GGUCGCGUGGCUCAAUUGGCAGAGCAUCGUGCUAAUAGAUAUACUAGCAUAUAACUACAAUCAUCCAGGUUGCAGAGUAACGCGAGGGUUGUGAGUUCGAGUCUCACCGUGACCA